rnacentral:rRNA from 1 species
GUUGAACGCUGGCGGCGUGCCUAAUACAUGCAAGUCGAGCCAAGCGGGGACGGGUGAGUAACACGUGGAUAACCUCCUAUAAGACUGGGAUAACUUCGGGAAACCGGAGCUAAACCGGAUACUUAUAGAUGGAUCCGCGGUGCAUUAGCUGGUUGGUAAGGUAACGGCUUCCCAAGUCAACGAUGUAUAGCCGACCUGAGCGGGUGAUCGGCCACCCUGUGACGUAGACACGGUGCAGACGCCUACGGUGGGCAGCAGUGGGGACGCCUGCGCAAUGGGCAAAAGCCUGACGGGGUAGCGCCGCGUGAGGGAUGAAGGUCUUCGGAUCGUAAAUCUCUGUUAUUAGGGAAGCGGUGCCUAAUCAGAAGGCCACGGCUAAGUACGUGCCAGCAGCCGCGGUAAUAC